rnacentral:lncRNA from 1 species
AGAGGUUCUGACUGCGCGUGCGUCCGCGGCCUGCGGCGGCUCCGCUCUACCCUGCGAGGAAGAAGCACUGCAGUCACCGCGCAGUUCUGACUUUGGCCGAGCCCUCCUCAAAGGAGCGUUCAGUCAGCAGAGACGCUGCCUCUGAUCAGAGGGGUUCCGACAAGAUCACAAUGUGGACCACCAAUAAAGCAAGGAUUCUAUGUCCCAGAUGGAGGUGAUGCCCACCCCACCUUAUCCUGCACUCGAUUCUAGACAUCUGUGAAGAGAGCGGAAUUCAUCCCUUUGCUGCCUGUCUCAUCUAGGUUUGCUGAGAUGUGAACUAGACUGAGAACCACAGUGUUCACGACCAUACCUAGAGUCAACAUGUAGAUUUUUGUUGUUGUUGCUGCUGACUCCAGCUUGGCCAUGGCAGGGACAGCGCAUGACAUGGCUCCCACCCCUAGAAAAGAGCCAGCAGGGCGUGGGCCUCUGGAAGUGUCGAUGGUUGCUGUGGGCAUACGGCUUGAUUGUAUAAAAUUAUAUAUUUUAUUUAUGCUCUUCCUUUA